rnacentral:rRNA from 1 species
UACGGGGGGGGCAAGCGUUGUUCGGAAUUACUGGGCGUAAAGGGCUCGUAGGUGGCCAACUAAGUCAGACGUGAAAUCCCUCGGCUUAACCGGGGGCAUGCGGGGGAAACGGCAAAGCUUGAGGGUGCGAGGGGUCUGUGGAACUCAUGGUGUAGGGGUGAAAUCCGUUGAUAUCAUGGGGAACACCAAAAGCGAAGGCAGCAGACUGGCGCAUUCCUGACACUGAAACACUAAAGCGUGGGUAGCGAAUGGG